AUUUCCAGUCAUACGUAAUUUGCGCUUUAAUAUAAUGUUGGCCUGUUAAGUGUUUGUUAACAGUUAGUGUUUUAAAUUUGGGAGCUUUUACUUAAAAAAGGUACGAAUCCAAUUCGAAAGCAGAAUAUGGAUUGGGAUUUCAACACUACCAACGAGACCUUCGACACAGAAGUCAUUCACUUCGUUCAAUAUCCUCUAUCGACUCGAAUUUUAGGAGGUUUUGUGUCUCUAUUCUCCACCACGUCAAACUUAAUAAUAAUUUUGACGAUAUGCAAAUUUCCCAAGCUGCAUUCGAGGAUUUAUUGGUACAUAGUGAAUUGGUGUAUCUGCAAUGUUUUCAUCACCGCUUCUAUGCCUUAUAUAUACAAUAUAUUCGAUUUUGAGACAUUAGCAAUUGAUAAAAGACUGUUUUGUAUAUGGCAGGAAAACAGUUUUAAUUUUUUAACCGGAAAUCAGUUUUUUGUAGUUGUUAUAAUAUUAGAUUGGUAUAUUAACACUUUCGCUAAUCAAAGAUCGUGUUCGUUACGAUGUAGAAACAAUUAUAAAACUAUAAUUUUAGCUGUUUGGAUAUUUUUAAUGAUUCUUAUAUUGAUCACGACUUUUUUGUGUAUAUUCGACAACAGUUCCCCCUUGUCCGUUUUGUGUUACGGAUUCAGUUAUUUGGGAAUAUUUUUUCUUUUCUGUAUAAUUUCUUUGUUGAGAUGCUUCAAAUUGAAGAGAUCUAGUAUAGUUGUUGAGAAAUCUAAAUUGGAAUUUAGAUUAGCUUUUUCUUACUUCAUAUCCUGGUUAUUCACAACUUUAUAUUUGUUUAAUAUUAAAGUUUUUCAUAAAUAUUUUUCUCCUACAACGAAUUAUAUGAUUCUGGAAUUAACCACGCUAUUGGGAUUAAGUCACGCCAUAGUUUUGUUAAUUAUUUUGUAUGUAUUAGAUAGAAGUUUUAGAAUUUGCGUUAGGACGAUGUUUAAUUUGCCCAUUGGCGAUUCCGACAUUGAGUUUAAAGUGAAACAAGAUCUUUUAGAUAUUUUAUAGACCUGUGUAUAAACUCGUAGCCAUAAAUAACGCACCACCCUUUAUUUCAACAUCAAAACCUAAAAUGUUAAUCCUUAGGAUUUUAAUCAAAAUAUCGUAUCAGCAAAUAAAUGUUUUUGUGGUUUUUUCAAAUUUUAAUUUUAUACAUAUUUUUAUGUUUCUUUCAUUCUAUUGUUGUACCAACUUGGGACAGAAGUAAUUUAAGUCAAUCGAGGUGUGUUAAAGUCGAGAUUAGUUAAACAAAAAAUGAAUAGAUUUGGGCAGUUAAAUUAAAGCAAAGCUGAAAGAAUAGUCGAGUUAGUUGGCGUACACCACACAACCAUUGGCAGAUUGAUGAAAAGAUUUCGAGGGAACGGUUCACAUUCUAGGAGGCCAGGACAAGGACGUCCUGCAAUUUUAUUUCCUCGAGAUGACCGUUUUUUGCAAUUAAAUACCUUCAGGAUGCUGGUCUACACAGCAGAAGAUUUCUCCAGACACCUUAGCUAACCAGGCAGCAUCGUGCUGCUAGACUAAGAUUUACAAGGCAACAUUUAGAUUGGAAUUUAGAAAAUUGGUGUCCAGAUGUCCAGAUGGACGUAAUUAAAUUCGAAGACGGCGAGGUAUCAUUCCCAGGGAGCAGUUCCAAGGAGGGUCUAUCAUGUUUUCGAGAGGAAUUUGUUUUGAUGCCCGCACAGAAUUGGUGUCUAUUACAAGACCCGCCCUUAAUUGACACUCUUGAAAAUUACGUCGUUCCUUUUGGGCCAUAUUGUUUUGUUACAAUGCUUCCAUUAUUAUUUUUUUACUCAUUAAAAAACACUCAAAAUUACUACAAAAGAAGUUAAACAAUAGCAGUAUUAAUUUAAAUUUAUUAAACAAAAAAAUAUUUUCAGAAAUCGGGAUGGUGCGUUAUUUUUGACCACGAGUGUGUUAAUUUUGUACUUUACUACAAUUCGUGGAUAUAUAUUGGAAACCGUAGUACAACUUUUGAUUGCUUGAUGAUUAUAAUUUUCUUCACUUACAAAUUCAGACGUCUAAUUGCACGUUCACAGUAUGAAGUCGAGAAUCCUCAUGGGAAAAACAAAAUCUUUUAGCCGCAAACCUCGACGCUUAUUCUUCAUUGCCCCCAAUUUUUUAGAGGACUUGUAGUGAACGAAAAAAUGCAUUUUCUAAUCCAAAAAACAAUACACAAGAUGUCAAGUUUUGCUCAGCAUUAAUUUUGGCUGAGGACCAUUCUAUUAAAUGCCGUUUAGUUCAGUAAGAUACCCAGGAUUCAACUUCCGUGUCUCUCCGAAAAAGAAAAUCCUUUCCCGUCUUUUCUCAGCCAAAAAUUGAAGUGUAUCGGCCGUUUGUUGUUUUGGGAAGCCAAAGUUUUAGAAAUUUCCGUUUUUCAGUAACAAUUCUAUAAAUCAGUGAAUGCGGGAAUUCCAUAUUAUUAACAUUAGUUGUAAACUUACGGUUUUGCUUAGGCUUCUCUUCAAUUACGUCAACCAAAUCAUCAUUUUGUCCGUAAAGCUCGCAGCGCCGCAACGGCGGUAUUUUUAAUCAAGAACUUAUUAUGGACAUACCUCGUAUUAGGCAGUCAAAUAACUGAACCACCUGUAUAUGACUAGAAGAAACCCUUUUUUUCCUAAAAUAACAUUCUAAGGUACUAAAAUUGUUCAUUAAAAACUUAAUAACACCAAAGAUCUUAACAUUAUUCAAAAGUGACGGUUUGGAUGGCAAUAUUUUCAUAAAGGAUGAUUAGCAAAAUAUUUUAUUUUGCUACCGGAUUUUCUACCACAACAACAAAACAGCAGAACCCCUUUGAUUUUAAAUAUGUGUUGAUUUUUUUGCAACGGAUACAUCAUGAUGGUGUAACCUGUCAUAUGUUCAACGAUAGGCCUCACCGUAGCCCAGACUUAUCUCCAUUUGACUCCAUUGUUAUGGAUUUUCCGGAAAAUUGAAUCUACGUGAUUGAUACUUCAAUUAAAAAACAUUCUUCAAGAAAUUUGAGUUGAGGAAUAACAACGGCAAGAUGGAUGAUAGUUUUAAGAAAUAAACGUUUAAUUAUUUCAUACGUGUGAAGAGUUCUAGUUAAAUAUGUAAUUUACAAAUUUUUUUGUCAUACAACAACUUGUUGAGUUUGUAUGUGCAAAUAUCAUACGUCAAUCAUAUGUCAAUCAUAUGUCAAUCAUAUGUCAAUCAUAUGUCAAUCAUAUGUCAAUCAUAUGUCAAUCAUAUGUCAAUCAUAUGUCAAUCAUAUGUCAAUCAUAUGUCAAUCAUAUGUCAAUCAUAUUUCAAUCAUAUGUCAAUCAUAUGUCAAUCAUGAGUAGACAGUUAUACCAGUACUCUUAAUGUAUAUAUACGUAAUUUUAUGAUAGAGAAGUAAGUUUUUGAUUUUUUAUAAAAACAGUUUCUCUCGUUGUUUGGAAGAAUUCUAUGAAAUUUGUAAUAGCUGUGAUUAAGAUUUGUUGUUUGUGUGAAAUAAAAUUAGAAAGCUCUUUUGAUUCA